UGCUUUGUGAAUGGAAUAAAUACCCAAAUAUAGCCAUUUCUCAUAAACAUGCUCGCCUGCCACGCGGGCGGCCCGGGUUCGAUUCCCGGCCGAUGCAU